rnacentral:rRNA from 1 species
UAGGGAAUCUUCCACAAUGGACGCAAGUCUGAUGGAGCAACGCCGCGUGAGUGAAGAAGGUUUUCGGACCGUAAAGCUCUGUUGUUGGUGAAGAAGGAUAGAGGUAGUAACUGGCCUUUAUUUGACGGUAAUCAACCAGAAAGUCACGGCUAACUACGUGCCAGCAGCCGCGGUAAUACGUAGGUGGCAAGCGUUGUCCGGAUUUAUUGGGCGUAAAGCGAGCGCAGGCGGAAGAAUAAGUCUGAUGUGAAAGCCCUCGGCUUAACCGAGGAAUUGCAUCGGAAACUGUUUUCUUG